rnacentral:rRNA from 1 species
CCUACGGGAGGCAGCAGUGGGGAAUAUUGCACAAUGGGGGAAACCCUGAUGCAGCGACGCCGCGUGAAGGAAGAAGUAUCUCGGUAUGUAAACUUCUAUCAGCAGGGAAGAUAAUGACGGUACCUGACUAAGAAGCCCCGGCUAACUACGUGCCAGCAGCCGCGGUAAUACGUAGGGGGCAAGCGUUAUCCGGAUUUACUGGGUGUAAAGGGAGCGUAGACGGUAUGGCAAGUCUGAAGUGAAAACCCGCAGCUUAACUGUGGGACUGCUUUGGAAACUGUUAAACUAGAGUGCAGGAGAGGUAAGUGGAAUUCCUAGUGUAGCGGUGAAAUGCGUAGAUAUUAGGAGGAACACCAGUGGCGAAGGCGGCUUACUGGACUGUAACUGACGUUGAGGCUCGAAAGCGUGGGGAGCAAACAGGAUU